rnacentral:rRNA from 1 species
GAUGAACGCUAGCUACAGGCUUAACACAUGCAAGUCGAGGGGCAGCAUGAUUGAAGCUUGCUUCAAUCGAUGGCGGCCGGCGCACGGGUGAGUAACACGUAUCCAACCUGCCGAUAACUCGGGGAUAGCCUUUCGAAAGAAAGAUUAAUACCCGAUAGUAUAGUAUUUCCGCAUGGUUUCACUAUUAAAGAACUUCGGUUAUCGAUGGGGAUGCGUUCCAUUAGAUAGUUGGCGGGGUAACGGCCCACCAAGUCAACGAUGGAUAGGGGUUCUGAGAGGAAGGUCCCCCACAUUGGAACUGAGACACGGUCCAAACUCCUACGGGAGGCAGCAGUGAGGAAUAUUGGUCAAUGGACGAGAGUCUGAACCAGCCAAGUAGCGUGAAGGAUGACUGCCCUAUGGGUUGUAAACUUCUUUUAUACGGGAAUAAAGUGGAGUAUGCAUACUCCUUUGUAUGUACCGUAUGAAUAAGGAUCGGCUAACUCCGUG